UAUUAUACACAAAGUGAUGGUUCAGUAAUUUGAUGGAUCCGACAUGUUUAUCGAGUGUGCACUUCAUUACCGGAAACACUUAAAAAUGAUCCCGUUGAAUACAUAAUUUCUUAAAUUACUGAAAUACUAAAAUUACUGUCAUAGCUAAAAUAAUUUUUCUCAUGUAGCUCGAUAGUCCAAAAUACUAAUUACUAAAAUGCUAAAAUUUUCAUGUAGCUCCAUAGUCCAAAUAAUUUGUCUUGUUCCGUGUGAUGGUGGUGGUUCAUUGGUCUUUUUAAUUAGCUCGGUAGUCCAAUUUUUCAAUUACUAAAGAAAUGUAUUCUCCAGUUAUGGUCAGAUCACCAGAAAAAUGCAUUCUAUUCGCUAGUUUUUGAAGUUCAGUAUUUUUUAGUUAUUGCGUAGCAAUAUUCUAUAAUUGUUGAGUAUUGUAGUACUUGUAUUUCAGUUAAUCCGCGGGAAGCAGCAGCAUUGUACCUGAAGGCGGCCGUGUGUGAGCUCCGAGGGGGAAGCACAAGUCGAAGGUUGGGGGAUGACCACAGGACAUCAAAUACAUCAAAGCAUGAUAGGUGCAAAAAAAAGCAAUGGUUUGUGCUAGAACAACAGGGAUGGACGGCGUGACUUUUUACGUGGAUUGUGCUUUAGCAUAACCACAAGCUCAUGCCUAGAACGCGCAUGACAAAAUGUAUACAGGCGCACAAGGCGAAAGACCCAGCAAUGUUGAUGAACAUGUAUUACUAGAUGAUAUCUGUAUUACUGAAUCCAAGACAUACAUUGGAAUUAUACGAUGUAUUACAGAAUCUAAAUGUGCAUAGGUAUUAUUGGAUGUACUUGAAACUCUGCACUACUAAAUCCAAGCAUGUACAUGGGUAUUACUAGAAAACAAUUUCUCAAAAAUAUACAAAAUUACUGGAAGUGCA